rnacentral:rRNA from 1 species
CCUACGGGUGGCAGCAGUGAGGAAUAUUGGUCAAUGGGCGCGAGCCUGAACCAGCCAAGUAGCGUGAAGGAUGACUGCCCUACGGGUUGUAAACUUCUUUUAUAAAGGAAUAAAGUGAGGCACGUGUGCCUUUUUGUAUGUACUUUAUGAAUAAGGAUCGGCUAACUCCGUGCCAGCAGCCGCGGUAAUACGGAGGAUCCGAGCUUUAUCCGGAUUUAUUGGGUUUAAAGGGUGCGUAGGCGGAUUGUUAAGUCAGCGGUAAAAUGGCCGGGCUCAACCCGGGCCGGCGGUGGAAACUGGGGAUCUUGAGUGGGCGAGAAGUAUGCGGAAUGCGUGGUGUAGCGGUGAAAUGCAUAGAUAGCACGCAGAACUCCGAUUGCGAAGGCAGCAUACCGGCGCUCAACUGACGCUCAUGCACGAAAGUGUGGGUAUCGAACAGGAUUAGAUACCCCGGUAGUC